rnacentral:rRNA from 1 species
GACGUAGGGCGCGAGCGUUGUCCGGAUUUAUUGGGCGUAAAGAGCUCGUAGGCGGCUUGUCGCGUCGGCUGUGAAACCCGACGGCUCAACUGUGGGCGGGCAGCUGAUACGGGCAGGCUGGAGUUCGGUAGGGGAGACUGGAAUUCCUGGUGUAGCGGUGAAAUGCGCAGAUAUCAGGAAGAACACCCGUGGCGAAGGCGGCUUUCUGGGACGGUACUGACGCUGGAGACGCGAAAGCGUGGGGAGCGAACAGG